UUAGUGAUCCGGUGGUUCUGUAUGGAAGGGCCAUCGCUCAACGGAUAAAAGGUACUCUGGGGAUAACAGGCUGAUACCGCCCAAGAGUUCAUAUCGACGGCGGUGUUUGGCACCUCGAUGUCGGCUCAUCUCAUCCUGGGGCUGAAGCAGGUCCCAAGGGUAUGGCUGUUCGCCAUUUAAAGAGGUACGCGAGCUGGGUUUAGAACGUCGUGAGACAGUUCGGUCCCUAUCUACCGUGGGCGCUGGAAAUUUGAGAGGAUCUGCUCCUAGUACGAGAGGACCAGAGUGGACGAACCUCUGGUGUACCGGUUGUGACGCCAGUCGCAUCGCCGGGUAGCUAUGUUCGGAAGGGAUAACCGCUGAAAGCAUCUAAGCGGGAAGCCUACCUCAAGAUAAGAUUUCCCUAGGACUUUAUGUCCUCUAAAGAGCCGUUCGAGACUAGGACGUUGAUAGGUUGGAUGUGGAAGCAUAGUGAUAUGUGAAGCUGACCAAUACUAAUUGCUCGUGAGGCUUGACUAUACAACACCCAAGCAGUUG
rnacentral:rRNA from 1 species